rnacentral:rRNA from 1 species
GACGAACGCUGGCGGCGUGCUUAACACAUGCAAGUCGAACGGAAAGGCCCUGCUUUUGUGGGGUGCUCGAGUGGCGAACGGGUGAGUAACACGUGAGUAACCUUCCCUUGACUUUGGGAUAACUUCAGGAAACUGGGGCUACUACCGGAUAGGAGCUCCUGCUGCAUGGUGGGGGUUGGAAAGUUUCGGCGGUUGGGGAUGGACUCGCGGCUUAUCAGCUUGUUGGUGGGGUAGUGGCUUACCAAGGCUUUGACGGGUAGCCGGCCUGAGAGGGUGACCGGCCACAUUGGGACUGAGAUACGGCCCAGACUCCUACGGGAGGCAGCAGUGGGGAAUAUUGCACAAUGGGCGGAAGCCGGAUGCAGCAACGCCGCGUGCGGGAUGACGGCCUUCGGGUUGUAAACCGCUUUCGCCUGUGACGAAGCGUGAGUGACGGUAAUGGGUAAAGAAGCACCGGCUAACUACGUG